GUGAGGAAUAUUGCGCAAUGGAGGCAACUCUGACGCAGCCAUGCCGCGUGCAGGAAGAAGGCGCUACGCGUUGUAAACUGCUUUUAACCGGGAAGAAACCCCAGGACGUGUCCUGGGUUGACGGUACCGGAGGAAUAAGCACCGGCUAACUUCGUGCCAGCAGCCGCGGUAAUACGAAGGGUGCAAGCGUUAUCCGGAUUCAUUGGGCUUAAAGGGUGCGUAGGCGGGGCGUUAAGUCAGUGGUGAAAUCCUGCAGCUUAACUGUAGACUUGCCAUUGAUACUGGCGCUCUUGAGUGCGCUUGAAGUGGGCGGAAUGUGCCGUGUAGCGGUGAAAUGCUUAGAUAUGGCACAGAACACCAAUUGCGAAGGCAGCUCACUAAGGCGAUACUGACGCUGAGGCACGAAAGCGUGGGGAUCGAACAGGAUUAGAUACCCCUGUAGUCC
rnacentral:rRNA from 1 species